rnacentral:rRNA from 1 species
AUACGUAGGGUGCGAGCGUUAAUCGGAAUUACUGGGCGUGAAGGGUGCGCAGGCGGUUCAGUAAGACAGAUGUGAAAGCCCCGGGCUCAACCUGGGAACUGCAUUUGUGACUGCUGGACUAGAGUAUAGCAGAGGGGGGUAGAAUUCCACGUGUAGCAGUGAAAUGCGUAGAGAUGUGGAGGAAUACCGAUGGCGAAGGCAGCCCCCUGGGUUAAUACUGACGCUCAGGCACGAAAGCGUGGGUAGCGAACAGGAUUAGAUACCCUGGUAGUCCACGCCCUAAACGAUGUCAACUAGUUGUCGGAGGAGGAGACUUCUUUAGUAACGCAGCUAACGCGCGAAGUUGACCGCCUGGGGAGUACGGUCGCAAGAUUAAA